GCUCGGGUGGCGGUGGACGCCGAGAAGGGCCCUGCCAUCAGAGAACUUCCGCCGUUUGAUUACUCCCCGCUGCCGUAUGCAGGGCCCGCCGCCGACGAGAUUCUGGCGAAGCGCAGAGAGUAUCUGAGUCCUUCCAUUUUGCAUAUGUACAAGAAUCCCGUGAGUUGGCGCAACACCAGAUUAUUUCCCCACAAAUAUAACGACGCCGUUUCAACUUUUACCAUGUGAACAAACCAGCCUUACAAUUUUUACAUGAUUUUCAAAAUACAUAUAUUAUAAUAGUUAAUAAAAAAUUUUAUUAUAAUAAUUUUCAUGAAUAACAUUCUUAAGAAUAGGCAUUAUAUAUAUAUAUAUAUAUAUAUAUAUAUAUAUAUAUAUAUAUAUUAUUUAGUAUACUUUAAUUUUCAUAAGUAAAAUAAUUUAUGCCUUAAUUCACCAAAAGAUAUGAUUAUUAUAAAAUAAAUAAAUUCAGAGCAAAUAACUAUUUAAUAUCUACAUAUAUAUUUUAAAAAUGAACAAAACUAUUUUUCAUGUUAAUUUGUAAUCAAUUUAAAACUAUUUCACAGUAAUAAUAUAUUAUCAUUCUGUGUGCGCUUUUUCUCCAUACUAAUUUUCUGCUAAAUAAUUAUUUUUUAACGAGUUCUACUAAUUAUUAUUUUUUAUUUAGUAGGCUUCCAUGCGAGAGUGGAAAUAUUUAAAGUUUUUUUAUUUGUGAUUGAUGGUUGUAAAAAUCCAUUUAGCGGUGAUACAUACGGUAUUUACUCGUAUAGACAAAUAAUUAUUUGUAAAAAAAAUAAAAAUGAUGUGAAUAUUGAUUUAAUGUUAUGCAUAUUUAAUAAAUUAAAUUCUGCUACAGUAGUUUUAAUAUCUAAUGAGCAUUUGAUUUUAUUUGUUUGGAAAUAAAAAAAAAAAAGUGAUAAAGCAGUGGUUGUGAGGUGUGCAGGUGAACAUAGUGGAAGGAAAGAAACAGUACCUGUUCGAUGAAAAUGGGAGAAGAUACGUGGACGCAUUUGGAGGGAUUGCUACGGUGUGUUGCGGCCACUGUCACCCUGAUGUGGUGGAGGCCAUAGUGAACCAAACCACAAAGUUGCAGCACUC
rnacentral:lncRNA from 1 species